rnacentral:rRNA from 2 species
CAUAUGGCAAUAUUGAUCCUACCCACGUAAUAUGGACACAGGCCUAAGCGAGGUUCUUGUUUUCAAAUUGUUCCGGACUGAGGCCGCCUUCGCUGACGAGUGGCGGACGGGUGAGUAAUGUCUGGGAAACUGCCUGAUGGAGGGGGAUAACUACUGGAAACGGUAGCUAAUACCGCAUAACGUCGCAAGACCAAAGAGGGGGACCUUCGGGCCUCUUGCCAUCGGAUGUGCCCAGAUGGGAUUAGCUAGUAGGUGGGGUAACGGCUCACCUAGGCGACGAUCCCUAGCUGGUCUGAGAGGAUGACCAGCCACACUGGAACUGAGACACGGUCCAGACUCCUACGGGAGGCAGCAGUGGGGAAUAUUGCACAAUGGGCGCAAGCCUGAUGCAGCCAUGCCGCGUGUAUGAAGAAGGCCUUCGGGUUGUAAAGUACUUUCAGCGGGGAGGAAGGGAGUAAAGUUAAUACCUUUGCUCAUUGACGUUACCCGCAGAAGAAGCACCGGCUAACUCCGUGCCAGCAGCCGCGGUAAUACGGAGGGUGCAAGCGUUAAUCGGAAUUACUGGGCGUAAAGCGCACGCAGGCGGUUUGUUAAGUCAGAUGUGAAAUCCCCGGGCUCAACCUGGGAACUGCAUCUGAUACUGGCAAGCUUGAGUCUCGUAGAGGGGGGUAGAAUUCCAGGUGUAGCGGUGAAAUGCGUAGAGAUCUGGAGGAAUACCGGUGGCGAAGGCGGCCCCCUGGACGAAGACUGACGCUCAGGUGCGAAAGCGUGGGGAGCAAACAGGAUUAGAUACCCUGGUAGUCCACGCCGUAAACGAUGUCGACUUGGAGGUUGUGCCCUUGAGGCGUGGCUUCCGGAGCUAACGCGUUAAGUCGACCGCCUGGGGAGUACGGCCGCAAGGUUAAAACUCAAAUGAAUUGACGGGGGCCCGCACAAGCGGUGGAGCAUGUGGUUUAAUUCGAUGCAACGCGAAGAACCUUACCUGGUCUUGACAUCCACGGAAGUUUUCAGAGAUGAGAAUGUGCCUUCGGGAACCGUGAGACAGGUGCUGCAUGGCUGUCGUCAGCUCGUGUUGUGAAAUGUUGGGUUAAGUCCCGCAACGAGCGCAACCCUUAUCCUUUGUUGCCAGCGGUCCGGCCGGGAACUCAAAGGAGACUGCCAGUGAUAAACUGGAGGAAGGUGGGGAUGACGUCAAGUCAUCAUGGCCCUUACGACCAGGGCUACACACGUGCUACAAUGGCGCAUACAAAGAGAAGCGACCUCGCGAGAGCAAGCGGACCUCAUAAAGUGCGUCGUAGUCCGGAUUGGAGUCUGCAACUCGACUCCAUGAAGUCGGAAUCGCUAGUAAUCGUGGAUCAGAAUGCCACGGUGAAUACGUUCCCGGGCCUUGUACACACCGCCCGUCACACCAUGGGAGUGGGUUGCAAAAGAAGUAGGUAGCUUAACCUUCGGGAGGGCGCUUACCACUUUGUGAUUCAUGACUGGGGUGAAGUCGUAACAAGGUAACCGUAGGGGAACCUGCGGUUGGAUCACCUCCUUA